rnacentral:pre_miRNA from 13 species
CUGCUGCUGGCGGCGGCUCUGCCCUCAGAGCCGGGCUCCUGGCCAGGAGCCCGGCUCUGAGGGCAGAGCCGCCGCCAGCAGCAGCGCAGAAGUA